rnacentral:rRNA from 1 species
UACGGAGGGGGGCUAGCGUUGUUCGGAAUUACUGGGCGUAAAGCGCACGUAGGCGGACUGUUAAGUCGGGGGUGAAAUCCUGGGGCUCAACCUCAGAAUUGCCUCCGAUACUGGCAGUCUCGAGUGCGGGAGAGGUGAGUGGAAUUCCCAGUGUAGAGGUGAAAUUCGUAGAUAUUGGGAAGAACACCAGUGGCGAAGGCGGCUCACUGGCCCGUAACUGACGCUGAGGGUGCGAAAGCGUGGGGAGCAA